rnacentral:tRNA from 1 species
AAUUUUUCGGAAUCGAUUUUAUCAAUUAUAUUAUAAAUUUUUUUCAAAAAUUUAUAUAUAAUAU